AUUGAACGCUGGCGGCAUGCCUUACACAUGCAAGUCGAACGGUAACAGGUCUUCGGAUGCUGACGAGUGGCGAACGGGUGAGUAAUACAUCGGAACGUGCCUAGUAGUGGGGGAUAACUACUCGAAAGAGUGGCUAAUACCGCAUGAGAACUGAGGUUGAAAGCAGGGGAUCGUAAGACCUUGCGCAAUUGGAGCGGCCGAUGGCAGAUUAGGUAGUUGGUGGGAUAAAAGCUUACCAAGCCGACGAUCUGUAGCUGGUCUGAGAGGACGACCAGCCACACUGGGACUGAGACACGGCCCAGACUCCUACGGGAGGCAGCAGUGGGGAAUUUUGGACAAUGGGCGAAAGCCUGAUCCAGCAAUGCCGCGUGCAGGAUGAAGGCCUUCGGGUUGUAAACUGCUUUUGUACGGAACGAAAAGCUUCGGGCUAAUACCCUGGAGUCAUGACGGUACCGUAAGAAUAAGCACCGGCUAACUACGUGCCAGCCGCCGCGGUAAGAC
rnacentral:rRNA from 1 species